rnacentral:lncRNA from 1 species
CGCACCAGUUGGGAGAGUCCAGGUCUUUAACCUAGGAGAUCCUAACAGGAGAAGCCAUACUUAAACAAAGAUGGGACUUUCUCUAAGAGCCAAAAGGACAACACUAGAGUGUGAAGAACUGAACUCUUCACUGGACAGUAAGUAAACACAGAGAACGAUGCCUAAUUCCAUCCUGUCCUGUGCUUGUCGAACAUGUCUACUGUGAAGUGGACACAUCAGGAGGAAACAGACCCAUGAACCGACAUUUGCUGCUGCUGAAAAUUAUUUAUCUUGACAAUUCAUAACAUUGGAGAAAAUUUUUUCAAGAGCUGGAGAACAGAAAUAUUGUAAGCGUUCACCUCUGUGAGCCAUGGGAGGCUCUGAGGCCGUGUUGCCAUCUUCCCUGCGUAUCACCAGUUUGUGUUUCUAGAUAGAGUGUGUUCAUACUUAGCCCUUGGGGCCUUUGAAUUUCUAAAACGUCUUUGUAAAGAUCUUGAUGUUCUCCAGUGACAAGCGUUUGGGUUUGCAGUCAUAUAUCCCAAGAACAUCGGUCCAACGGAAUUCCUUUUGUGGCUUGGGGAAAAUUGGGAAAUUUGACUCUUGUUUCACCAUGUAUCAAUUGAUGACAACGUCAACAGUUGGCACUUCCUGAAGCUUCGGAGGGUAGAGAAAUAUGUGGAGGGUGUCUGUGUAGAAAAGGACAUGCUCUUCUGAGUGUUCUGUCGAUUUUAUAAAUUCUGCAGAGGUGUUGCUCUAAGCCUUUGAAAAGCUAGCGGUUUGUGUGUAGAAGGCUUCUUGAUUUGUAGUCCGUCAAGAAUCUGAAUAGAACCUAAUCUACAUUCAAGAGAGGGAAAGAGAUCAAUGGCCUGGGCCUCUCUCCUUCUCUGCCGAGGCACGUCCAUCCAUGUUAUCACCUAUCCGUUCCUUAAAAUGAAAGCACUUUCUUUAGAGAGUUUCCGCUCAUCAUAGGGUGCAUGUGUUUAUGUUUAGGAGCUGACACCACUGGUGGAUUUCCUGUUUUCCCAUUGUUUUCUUUGACUGUGACAUUUCGGAGGGGCUUGACCGCCUCCUCCUCCCCCCCCCUCCCCCGCCCCAAAUAGCCACAGUGGGAUAAAACAACAAAUGUGAAAAGAUCAGAUGGUCAUAUUAAUUUGAAGCAUAUUAUUAUCCUUCACAAAAACGUGGCUGGGCCUGAGAAUUUUAAUGCCACACGGUUUUCGUGAGAGAGAGAGAAGGAGAGAGAGAGAGAGGCCUUAAUUUUGAUUUCAUUUAAAAUGAAGUAUUUUUUAAAUGUUUCAUGCAUAGUGCCAGGGAAUUCAAUGAAAUAAUACCUGGGAUGCGAAUAGAAUUCAACACACUGGUAACUAUGCCCGGCCAGUGGAGAGAGCCCCAAAACUGGUUGGGAAGCCCUAGCUGUCUGUUAGCAUCCCUUAUAGAUCAUAAAGGCCUUUUUGGGGGGGAAGACCUGGAGCAGUGAUCCUUCAGAUUGCUGUGGGCAGAGCAGUGGCUCCUCUUUUAUGCUUUUUCAAUUCAGCAUAUUAACCACGAGGAGCCCGGUACUACUUCCCCACAUCCCGUUGUACCAAGAUUUUAUGAUCCUAUAACCCAGUAGGUUUUACUCAUACAAACUUCUAUCUAUGUAAAUUUUUAAAAUGGGAACGGCUUCUAAAGACCCUUCCCCAUGUUGGAGAGUUAUGUAUAUUUCUAAUAAGUAUUAAAGAGAAGCUGUUUCUCCUGCCAAAAUGACGCUGAAGGAUUCACAUUUGGUAGAUUUGACCAAGUUGGACUCCAGAUGGUUAAUAGUUUAUUCCCUUUCCCUGGAUUUUUUUUAGCUCAUCUUGACGCAGGUGAGUCUAUCCAGAUCUUUAAAGUCGCUAGUGUGCCCUGAGGUGAUGAGGGCACACCGUCGAAUGUUGAUUCCAAAAUGUCCUGAGAUAGGGAUAGGGCAGUGGGGAAGUCAGGGAAGGGUGAGAAGCACAGUAGAGAUUAUUUAUUUAAGAAAGAAAAGAACAUUAAUGUCGUAGCAUGGAUCCGGUACGUUGUCAUAAUCCCAUGAGGAUUUUUGGAUGACACGAUCCCCUCAAAUCAGUCACCAUGUUGGGUAAUGACUUCGUUCUUGCUGAUCUUGUCUAUGUGUCAUUGUAAAUAUUUGUGUGUCCAUGUUCCAUUUUGGCUACUGGAUGGCCAAGUCAUGUAAGAAGAUUUAACUCAAGUAUUUAUUCUUUAAUUGUGUUAUCCAGAUUUCUUUCAGGCUUGUGAAUUGCACCCCAAUGUUUGAGUUUAACCACCUGAUCCCCACAUCGUUCCCUCCCCUGUGAAGCACAUUCCAUUGCUAAAAGAAAAAGAAAUAUGAAAUUGCUUCCUGUCGUCUGUAUAACUGUUUUGAUAGUUUGAGAUGUUUGUCUAUAAAGGAUAUUUCUCAGCUCAAAGAUCGUGUAAAUAAUUAUAUUCCUUUGCUCAGUGGGUUGUUUAUUUCUAAUGAGGCUGCCAGUUCUGAGAGAGAAUCUCUAAAAUCACCUUUAAAGAACGUAAACAGGGAUUACAACUAUGUAAAAAUAAACAUGCAUAUGAACAAAGACUGGGAACACAGAUAAUGGAAACCGGUUGUGUUCAGGCGGUGGGAUUAUGUGAAUUUGUUUUUUCCUUUGGACAGUUUUCUUUGAUGUUGUUAUAAUAUUGCUUUAUAAUAAAUAAACAUCAGAAAGGGGGACUGUAGAAACAUAGAAAAGAUGCCAGAAGCAGGUGCCUUCUGGCCAGAGCCCAGAGCAUGCAGGGCACAGGUAUUUGCUAGUUACAAUUAUUCCAUAGGCUUUCUCUUUGCCUGGGUGCUGAGGUUGGCACAUGCUUGGGUAUGGCACGUGCUUUCUUAGGGGACUGUUAUCUACAAAUUAAAGCUAGGAGAUGUCGCUCUUGGAACUCCAAACACAUCCUUCGGUUUUGGUUCCGUUAGGUUGGAAGGGUGACCUUUGAUUAGCUCCCUUGAUAACAUCCGUUUCAGCUAUCACCUUUCUGGAUCAUUUUAGCAGAUUUUCAGGCUGAAUUUUGGAAGAAGGAUAAAAUCCACAGCUCCCCCCUUUUCCUUUUCCACCAGGAUAUAUUGUCAUUCAGGUAGGGUUUUUUUUUUUUUUAAACCGAACAGUGGGCAGGUCCUGUCGAUUUCAAUAGAAGACAGGGCUUGCAUUUCGAAGCUGACUAUGGAAACAUUAAGACAAAUAUUUAGAACUGCCUUUGCCUGUUGGCAUUCAGUCACACUCCUUUUAAAUGGCCUGAGAUGGCAGGUGGCCUCUAUGUGCUUUCUGUCCUGCCUGAUUACAGGUCGUAUGCAGUAAACUACUGUCGUUUUUAAAGAGCAAAAGGGAGACUAUCUACCCAAAGAGAGGAAUUUCCUUCUAACUCACCAAAGAAAUUUUAGGUGAGGACUUUGAUCAUGCAGUAGUGGCCUCAGAUGUUGCCUAGUUUCACCAAGAGCAGACCUUAUACCUAGAGAACCCACAGACUUUUCUUUGUCCAUCCUCAGCAUAUAUCUACUUAUAAGAGCCCUAACCCUGCCAUCCCCAGUUGAAUCUCAUGGUCCUUUUCUGAGCUACUUGCAAUUUAUAUUCGGUUGAGUAAAGGCAUGGUCAGUGAUGCCAACUUCUCCCCGUCUCUGAGCAAAAGGACCGACAUUCAGCAUUUAUAAAUCGACAGCCUAAUAGACUUGGGAUUUUGAGUGAACUUAACACACAAUUCUGAACCUAGAUUUGCAUGUGGAUUGGGAAGGAAACAAGUGGGACCUUGGAAAUAAUGGAAAUAUUUUUCCAAAGAAAGAAUUUUUCAUAGGAAAUUUGUUUCUGAUAUAAUCUUUCUGUUGGUUAGCUUUCAUUUUUUUCCUACUCCUUUUCUGAUCCCACCCUUCUUUAGUGACUAAAUGAAUAUAACCCAGCUCCUCAUGCAUCGGGAAUGUCUGUUUAAUAUUCUAAAAUAUCUAACUGAAUUUGCAAAUGCGGGCACUGAGAUGUCACUUCCACAUGCACACUUCCAUGUUCAAGUAGACCAAAAUAACAACAAAUAGCAUUUACUGCCACAUAACAGAGUCACACUUGCAAGAUCAACUUCUCGAAACUGGCGAAUGCCAUCAGAAGUCUCCUUUGGAAGCUGCCAUCAGGUAAAUGCUAUCCCAUAAUGCCAGUGGUACAGCAGGUACCAUGUUCAGCUGAUUUAGGACCUAAGAGGAAAUCAACAGCCAUUAGAAUUAGUCAGGUUCGAGAUGUAGAUCAGAUGUAGUGGGAAAAGUACUAGCCUAGAAGUAACGAUACCUGCAUUCUAUAUGGGCUCUAUUACUAACUUAGUGUGACCUUGGGCAAGUCACUUAACCAUGUUGCAGCUGUUCCUUCAUCGAUAAAAUAGGGGUAUGGGACUAGAUUUCCAAGGCUUUCCAAAAGCUUGAACAUUCUGUGGUACUCCAGAUGGCCAUGCUAAUUCAACCUACUGAAGUGAUGGCAAAUAUCGCAUGCCUAAGCCUGGGUCUCUUAUGUUGCAGUUAAACAAUAGAACUAUGUGAGAUGAAGCCAAAAACAAAAAAAAAAAAAAAACAAAACAAAACCCAAACCUCAAGUGAAUGAAGUUAAUAAUACUAGGGAAUGUUGAUAAAACUUGUGGCAGCCUUCCAAUUCCUUCACAGUUGUUUUGUUUUUGUUUUACUGUUCUUUUUCUGUUGUGUGUUCCCAGUUUUUCAUUUUCCAUACACUCUGUCUGCAGAGUCUGGUUUUCCUUAAGCUGUGGCCCGUAUUUGCUACUAGAACAGAAAUACACUGUCACACUUGCUAGAAUAGAACUCUACUUGCCUCUUCUGUCCUAUGAAGCGGUGUUGGGCUUUAUAGAGUUUACUUCGUAAAUGGCACAAGAUGGCAGCACCCAUGCAUGUGCAUGGCUGAGACUUCUGAGUGGGCCUAAGCACUUGCAGCUUGCAGAGAGGAAAAGGAAAAAGUGAUUACAUGCUAUUUGCAAUAAGGAGUGUUGACAAAUCCACUUGUUGGGAGCCAAAGAUAGCAUUUCCGAUGACAACUCCCACAGGGAUGGGCCAGCUGGAUGAGCAUGCUCCUGGAAAGAGGAUAAACUGGUAGUUAGUGGACAGUCCCAAUACCCUGCCUACAGCGGUGCCAACCAGCCCUGAGUGUGAAAUUCAAGUUCAGUGUGUGUGCUUGUGUAUGGUGUGCUUUAUGGACCCGCAUAUCCUAUAUUCAUUAGUGAUGAUAAGACCUUUCACAAAAGUCUAUAACCAUUAGUGGGUUGAGUUUUAAAUCUCAGUACAUCGGCAAGGAAGAGACAGAUCACAGGGUCGUGAUGUGUACUGGGAUUAUACUCAUGAUAUCCAGACAAAACGAGUUGAGGAGGAUCUAGAUUUCCAUUGUUUAUCAGAAUUGUAUCUCCUUUGGCUGUGCUUUACUUUUGUUAAAAUGUGUUAUCUGUAAACCUAUGUGUAGUGAAAUUCUUCUGUAACUUUGGAUUAAAGGUAUUUAUGGUCUUUUUGUUUGUUGGGUUUUUAAGUAAGUUAUUUCUUUUGUAGACCUGCUGAUGGUGUGGUUCCAUCUUUCUGACCUCAGCAUCUGAUCUUUUUAAGGACUUUGAUUUCCAAUCUUGUUAUUUUAAAUUGUGGUUGAAGCAAUAGAAAAUUGAAAUAUGGAUUGUGCAUGACUGUGUCUUGAGUGUAAAAAUAUUGCAGUUUGAAACUUGGACCUAAAGUAUUGCAAAUAAAAAUGACAAAC